UACGGGGGGGGCAAGCGUUGUUCGGAAUUACUGGGCGUAAAGGGUUUGUAGGUGGCUUGUUAAGUCAGACGUGAAAUCCCUCAGCUUAACUGGGGAACUGCGUCUGAUACUGGCGAGCUUGAGUGCAGGAGAGGAACGCGGAAUUCCAGGUGUAGCGGUGAAAUGCGUAGAUAUCGAGAGGAACACCUGCGGCGAAGGCGGGUUGCUGGGCUGACACUGACGCUGAGGCGCGAAAGCCAGGGGAGCGAACGGG
rnacentral:rRNA from 1 species